GCAGUAGUAGCAGUAGUAGUAGUAGCAGUAGUCAUACCACAUAAAGCAGUACGACAGUUUGGUGUAUGCGCGCGGCAGCAAGAGAGAGAGGGAGAGGGAUGCACGGGCAGAAGACAGUGGCAGUGGUGGUGGUUGUGUGCGUGUGUUCCUAACGUGCACACACUCGUCUCUUACCUGUGUGCGUGUGUGCGUUUAUAGUGCCCGUGUACGUAGGAUUGGUGAAACGUACAUACACACACGUACAUGCAUAGAAAACGGAAAUGAUUUAAUUAAAGAAAGAAAAAGAAA